UAUCGUGUGUGUGUGUGUGUGUGUGUUGUGCAUAUAAGCAUGCAUACAUGAGUGCAGGGCAGAAUGUUCACACGUUCAUGUAGAGGUCAGAAGACAGCUUUUAGGAGUAAAUUAUAACCUUCCACUGUGGUUCUAAGGUUAGAAAUGUUUUUAUAACGUUUAAACAACAUGUACUUAUAACCAUUGAGCCGAUUGUCUAUCAAGCAUCAUAACAGUUUUCAUUAUUAUUUUUAAAAAAUUAACAUUUUAAAUAUGUAAUUGCAUCAUUUCUCAGAGUUUCUUUACUUCUUUCAGCACUUCCCAUAAAGCCUGUUACUCACAUUGAAAUUCAUGUCCUCUUUUUCUUUAGUUGUUGUUACAAAUAAACUAUAUGCGUUCCUACUUAAAUAUAAUUUGCUCACUUUUUAUUUAUUUACUGGUAUGUAUAUAAUCUUAAGGUUGACUGCUU
rnacentral:lncRNA from 1 species